UUUAAGGAGUAAAAUAAAAUUGAAAUGAUGUCUACAAGAUCAAGUAUGCCAUAGAGAAUAAUUUUUUUUUCUUAUUUUCCCUUUUGUAGAUAAUGUAAGGUGGUUAUCCUCUUGAUGUAUGCACUAGAGACAGUUAGUGGAUAAGAGAAAAGAGAGUGUGUGUGUUCUCAGUCACUUCUCAUUGUUACAAUUCACAGUGUCUACUUAUCUGGUAAUGGGUUGAUAGACCAUUAGUCUUUUAGACAGCUAAGAAGGUGAUUGAGAUCAACCAGUCACCAGUGUACGUCUAUAUACUGGAAGAAACAGUUAUCUUUAAAAAGAGGAUGUCAGUGUGAGCUGCUUCUAAACUGAUAGUCAAUAUGGUGUCAUGAAGGACAUAGACUGCCAAUGUGUAUUAUGUACAAGAUGGUUGGACUAAAGUAUCACAAACUGUUAAUGGUUUACACUAUCGAGAUGAAGAAGAGAAGAAUACAGCAAUAUUAAUUAUUAAUAAUGAGAAUCUGUAAAAUAACUAACAAUAAAAUAAUUACCGUAUAGCUGGUAAUUAUGUAGGGGUAAAUUUUGUCAAAAUAAUUGCUAAUUUUUUGAUAAUUGGAGGAUUUUAAUGAGGCUAAUUUUUGCCUGAAGCCAA